rnacentral:tRNA from 1 species
UCCUGUAUGGUCUAGCGGUUAGGAUUCCUGGUUUUCUCCCAGGUGCCGUGUUCAACUCCCGGUAUGGGAA